rnacentral:rRNA from 1 species
UACGAAGGGUGCAAGCGUUACUCGGAAUUACUGGGCGUAAAGCGUGCGUAGGUGGUUCGUUAAGUCUGAUGUGAAAGCCCCGGGCUCAACCUGGGAACUGCAUUGGAUACUGGCGAUCUGGAGUGCGGUAGAGGGUGGCGGAAUUCCCGGUGUAGCAGUGAAAUGCGUAGAUAUCGGGAGGAACAUCCGUGGCGAAGGCGGCCACCUGGACCAGCACUGACACUGAGGCACGAAAGCGUGGGGAGCGAACAGG